UGACAGUCUGCUGGAUGCUGUUGCCAGAAGAGGUUGUCUGUGUUGAGCAGGGUGCUCAGCUCUCCACGAGAUGCUAAAUAUCUUCUGAGGUCUAUCAUGGAUACUUAACUGCAGUUCUGUGAGUAUCCCAACUUAACCAUGAAGAUGAACUGCAAACUGUAAGUCAUUAAUUUCUCAUUACUCUUGGGCACAUUGAUGUAUUUUGGCUUCCUGGUGAGUUAACCUGUUACCUGAAGGUUGAUCUGAGUAGCAAGGAUGUUUUAUUGGUUCAUGGGUUACUUAGGGAUUUGGUUUAUGUUGGUUUUAAUGAUUUGUUAAAAUGGUUACAGGCUCCAAGUUAUUGUUGUAAGCCUGGGCAAUGGGUUGGUUUCUGAUAUCUGCAGUCUUCUUUCAUUCUACUCUCCUGAGCUCUGCAUCUUCAUCACAUGAGUGUUGCUUUACUGAUGAGGGUGUGGUCUGAGUGAGCAGAUGUGCAUACUGGGAUACAGAGCUGUCUGAAGUCUACAGGUCUGUAGACACGCCCCCUCAGGGGAAACCGAGUGUUUGAGAAACUGUCGUGACGUCAGUUACAUGGACUGGAAUGUUCUUAAAGAUGGAGACAGGGAUUCAGAAGGAGAAACACCAGGGGGAGAUGAGGGGGCUCCUCAUCUCAACGGCCAAAACACAACUUCAGUCUGACAGAGAACCAUGGAACACAUUCAACAGUCCCCUCCAGGCAUCGUGACUCCUCAGGAAGGUUUCAUUUCCAAGGUCUUAUUUGGGGCCAUCCCCAUAUGGAUCCUGCUCCUCAAGAGCCACCCCCCUCCACUGGGUGGUCUUCUGAACAGAUGACCUCCUUCCUGUCCUCAGGCUGACUAAAGCUGCACCGUUUGCAUCUGAAGGCCCCUCAUUCAGGAAACCACUUGACUACAAAGACAUGACUUCAGAGACGUUGAAUCAACCUGGGACAUUUUGGAGACGCAAAGCAUAAUCCAUCACCAAUGUGGGACGCCACUGAAGAAUGUUGUGCAUAAUUUACAUCUCUGGAGAAAUUGGUUGUUCUGGUAUGGGUGCCCUGGCAGGAGGCCUGGGGAGGGGUGGGGAAUGUUAUUUGGCAUGAGGUUUUUACCCUGCAUGAUUGUUUGGCCUUUUAUGGCUCAGUGGUGUGUGUGUGUGUGUGUGUGUGUGUGUUUGACAUGAGAUGGAAGAUUUUUGAGGGUUCUACUGUGUGUGUUUCCCACUCACACCUGGCAUAGGGUUCUACGUGCCUGGCCUGGGUUCUAUGUGUGUGUGUCCGGCUUGCUUUGACAGUGAUAAUGUUCAUACGAGGGUCUGUGUGAUUGGCUUGGGAUAUUGGAAGGGUCAACUAAAUCAUACCUGAUGGAUGACCACACGUUUACUCAAGGGCCUCCAGUAGACAUGAAGAGCCUUGAGCGACGCUCCGCAGCGAUAUCCAACACGCUGGGCAGGAAGGAGAGUAUCCAACUCAAGUGUAAAAGGAUGCAAGCGGCGUGUUCAGAUCAGUGACUUCAAAUUAGGACUACACCAAUCAGGAUCAAUGGAGGAUUGACACCAAAAGGAAUUCCACACGGAGAGUCUGACGUUGGAAAGGGACCUAAAUGGAUUUUCAAGAUGACCUUCAGACCUGUAAUGAGACGGCUGUUCCUACCUGGCCGGAUUGAUGAAGAGCCCUGUGGAAACCUUCACUGGGCUUCAAGGUAUAAGGAGGAAUGUUUCCAUGGUACUCUGAUGAACACCGUUGUUGUGUUCCACUGGCUGAGGGGAAGAACCCACACAUCUUUCUCUUGACCGUUCUCCUCUGAGAAUCCUGGUGCCAUCUUGAAGGAUAUUCCAGCUCAUGUAACUGAUGUCACGACAGUUUCUUAAACACUUGGUUUCUCCUGAGGGGCGUGUCUAUAGAACUGAAGACUUCAGACAGCACUGUAUCCCAACAUGCAUCUCUGCUCACUCGGACCACACCCCCAUGAGUAGGAUGCAACACUCUAGUGAUGGAGAUGUAGAGUUUUAUAAGUAACGAGGGAGCAGACUAAGGUGAUUAGAACACAAUGGAAUGUCCAGUCUGUAAAUCUUUAAUCCAUGAAGAUGGUUGGAUAGUUCAGGAAUUGGGCUUUUUAUUAUGGGCAGUCCUUUCACUCGGAUGCCCACGAUGAUGCCCAUGAUUUGCUGUUGGUGAUGAGGUGGUCAGGGUGACGUUGCAGGGCUAUGGUCGGCUCUCUGCUCAACGUUUAGAUUUGCUCUGUAUGGUUUAUACCCGGAAUAAUCUAGAUAAUUGUAAAAUGUAUACACGGUUUUGUAUUGAAUGAUUUUAGUUUUAAAGUUGUUGUGGGACGUACAUGGUAGUUUGGUUCUUCGUAUGGUUUUGAGUGAUAUAACUUGUACACACUGGGUGCAUAAUAAUGUAAAGGUACACUGAAUAGGAAUGACCAACAGCAACAAACGGAUCUCCUCAAGGUAAGUCUGUUGGCUGUGUUUUAAUGAAGACCAUCGCUGGACUUCAGGAUCUUCCUCCGUUCAGCUCAAGGUGAGGCGCUGGUUCUGUUUUUUCUUUGGUUGGUUCCGGCCGGAAUGUUCGGAUUCCAGUCGGACGGUUUGUGCUUCCCGCCGUGGAAGGUUCUGAGUGCGGUCACUAGAUUUAGUCCCAAUGGUUAGCAUAGAACGUUGUAGUCUUGACAACCAUGAGAAACCACCUGGCAGUUUGUUGGACUGGAGUCCCCUGAGGGAAUCUGGCGGAACGUUCUGGAUUGUAUUUGCGUAACCUCGAGCCGUUUCCUAUUCUAUUUCAGUCGGUUUCGAUUGGGAAUUGUUACCCCUAUCUUAAACAACUUAAGUCUGAUAUUAAAUACAUACUCAUGCGUACGUCGUACAAUAUGUUGAUAAAUUCCGAUGGUUGCACCGUACUUUUAACCACGAUGACGUGACGGGACUCUCACUGCGUACAAAACGGCAUUCUACUUGCGGGCCCAUUUUUGACAUCAGGGGAGGCUGAAAAUCAUUUCAAGGUGGAAGCUAAUUUGACAUUUCUUCAACGGAACCCAGCACCUGAAUAUGGCUGAGUAUAUUUGAUUUAAUAUCGAUACUGCUUAGAGUUCUUUGUUACUUCAACUUUUGUACGUUCUAAAUAUCUGCUGUCAUUAAUUGCCACAGAAGUUAAACCCUACCCAAUGGAAUGACGUUAAACAACGACUUUGGUUCAGUUACCAACUUCAUUAUAUCAAAGCUAAAAUAAUGGCAGUCAUUCCCACAUGUUACAAUAGAAGAUACUCUAGUCUAGAACUGUACAAGGUUCAAAAGGUAACAUGUAGUUUGUCCCAAGGUGUCUGCCUCCUCACCCAGAGCAAGACCUCCACCUCCUCACCCAGAGCCAGACCUCCACCUCCUCACCAAGAGACAGACCUCCACCUCCAGUCAGAAGUCCUCCAGAACAGCUGAACUGCGAGGCUGAGAGGCUGGGGACCAGAGGCUUGUGGUGCCAGGGUGGACCGGAGACUGAGGCUGGAGACCAGGGGCCCACAGCACCGGACCAGAGGGUAACCAUCACCAAGCUCAUCUGAAACACUAAAAUCCACGGUAGUUUAGGUCUAGUUUUGAUCAUCUUAUGACUUUAAAUCUGUGCCAAGCUGUGAUUUUAGUUAAUUCAUACGGGGGUUAUGUAGUAGUCAUGUGAGCCAUUCAUGUUACUAGUGCUCCUACGACCGUAGUGGAUGAAUUGCUGAAUGCGACAAUCUGCAGACAUUGUCUAAUUUAAGUGUUUAAAUUUGUGAACCUCGG